GAAAGACAAAUCAUCGCCAUGUUCAAAAUUCCAAGGCAGACGGUUUUGGUCAGCUGUUGAGUUUGUUUUCCAUCCUCACUGUCAGGGUUCUCUUUAGAAGUGGUGAUGUGCAGAACAGUUGAAAAUGUGUUUCCGUUGGAUAUCUUCUGAUAGUUUGCCACUCUUUUUUUUUCCUGGAGUGAAGUCAUGAAUCCGUUUACCCCAGACUGCUCUCCAAGGUUCUCCUUUGGGAUGAGACUUUACAGGAAGACACAGUCUGUGGU